GUGGAAGUCACCUCGAGUAUCUCGGGGCUUGGUGACCUUUAAUGUUCCUGCUCUUCUGCCACCACCAAUCAGAAUAUUUGAGGGCUGCUGGGCAUGGUGGAGCAUGCCUGUCCGUCCCAGCACUUGGCAGGCUGAGGCAGGAUCGGUCCGUGAGUUCCAGGCCAGUCUGGACUACCUAUCUGCAGAUGGUUCCUUCUACCUAUUGACUGGUAGAAGUAAGCGCUACCGAGGGGAAGAGGUACCCAGGGAGUGAGACAUGGCCCUCCUCGUCCUGAGAUCCUGGAGCUCUUCAGUUUUCAGUCCUCACACCAGCCCUUCCAGCUCAGAAAAUACAGGCACCAUAUUUACAGCUUCCGCGGAGCCCUCCUUUCUUCAAAUUCCUCCAAGCACUCAACAGUGUCAAGUGUCAGAAGCAUUAAACUUG
rnacentral:lncRNA from 1 species